rnacentral:misc_RNA from 1 species
AACUUUUGGCAACGGAUCACUUGGCUCUUGCAUCGAUGAAGAACGCAGCGAAAUGCGAUACGUAAUGUGAAUUGCAGAACCGUGACUCAUCGAAAUUUUGAACGCACAUUGCACCUGGUGGCAUUCCGCCAGGUAUGCUUGUUUGAGGGUCUGUUUAUUCUCUCUUUUUAUUUUGAAAAUCGCAAGGUUUUCGAACAAAAAAGGACUUGGCCUCGUGGGACUCGUUCCACUUGGCUUGAAUUCAGACCGUGGUCUCUUUGAAAAUUCCUUUUUCGAAUUAGACAUAUCCAUAUCAGCCAACUCGUUGGUUCACUUGGGUAGAUCGACGUCGAAAAUCAAUGGGUUUUCAACUUUGACCCCAGCGGCAAAAAACACUAGUUUUUUAUCAAAGGACCUCAAAUCAAGCAAGGCUACCCGCUGAACUUAAGCAUAUCAAUAAGCGGAGGCU